rnacentral:rRNA from 1 species
CCUACGGGAGGCAGCAGUGAGGAAUMUUAGRCAAUGGGYGAAAGCCUGAUCUAGCCAUGCCGCGUGCAGGAUGACGGCCCUAUGGGUUGUAAACUGCUUUUAUACAGGAAGAAAAAACUCUACGUGUAGAGUCUUGACGGUACUGUAAGAAUAAGGAUCGGCUAACUCCGUGCCAGCAGCCGCGGUAAUACGGAGGAUCCAAGCGUUAUCCGGAAUUAUUGGGUUUAAAGGGUCCGUAGGUGGACAAUUAAGUCAGAGGUGAAAUCCUGCAGCUCAACUGUAGAAUUGCCUUUGAAACUGGUUGUCUUGAGUCAUUAUGAAGUGGUUAGAAUGUGUAGUGUAGCGGUGAAAUGCAUAGAUAUUACACAGAAUACCAAUUGCGAAGGCAGAUCACUAAUAAUGUACUGACACUGAUGGACGAAAGCGUGGGUAGCGAACAGGAUUAGAUACCCUGGUAGUCCACGCCGUAAACGAUGGUCACUAGCUGUUCGGACUUCGGUCUGAGUGGCUAAGCGAAAGUGAUAAGUGACCCACCUGGGGAGUACGUUCGCAAGAAUGAAACUCAAAUGAAUUGACGG